CAAUAGCGUAUAUUAAAGUUGUUGCAGUUAGAACGCUCGUAGUCGGAUUUCGGGGCGGGCCGACCGGUUUGCCGAUGGGUACGCACUGGUCGGCGCGUCCUUCCUUCCGGAGACCGUGCCUACUCUUAACUGAGCGGGGGCGGGAGACGGAUCGUUUACUUUGAAAAAAUCAGAGUGUUUCAAGCAGGCAGCUCGCUCUUGCAUGGAUUAGCAUGGGAUAAUGAAAUAGGACUUUGGUGCUAUUUUGUUGGUUUCGAACACCGAAGUAAUGAUUAAAAGGGACAGUCAGGGGCACUCGUAUUCCGCCGAGAGAGGUGAAAUUCUCAGACCAGCGGAAGACGAACUACUGCGAAAGCAUUUGCCAGGGAUGUUUUCACUGA
rnacentral:rRNA from 1 species